rnacentral:miRNA from 14 species
CAUCGCUAUUUCUUGCUGGCAC